CAAGGCUAAAUACUCGUAAUCGACCGAUAGUGAACCAGUACCGUGAGGGAAAGGCGAAAAGAACCCCGGAAGGGGAGUGAAAUAGAUCCUGAAACCGUGUGCAUACAAACAGUAGGAGCGGACUUGUUCCGUGACUGCGUACCUUUUGUAUAAUGGGUCAGCGACUUACAUUCAGUGGCAAGGUUAACCGAAUAGGGAAGCCGUAGAGAAAUCGAGUCCGAAUAGGGCGAUCAGUCGCUGGGUGUAGACCCGAAACCAAGUGAUCUACUCAUGGCCAGGAUGAAGGUGCGGUAACACGCCCUGGAGGUCCGAACCCACUAAUGUUGAAAAAUUAGGGGAUGAGCUGUGGGUAGGGGUGAAAGGCUAAACAAACUUGGAAAUAGCUGGUUCUCUCCGAAAACUAUUUAGGUAGUGCCUCAAGUAUCACCAUCGGGGGUAGAGCACUGUUAUGGCUAGGGGGUCAUUGCGACUUACCAAACCAUUGCAAACUCCGAAUACCGAUGAGUGCGAGCUUGGGAGACAGACGGCGGGUGCUAACGUCCGGCGUCAAGAGGGAAACAACCCAGAC
rnacentral:rRNA from 1 species